UAUAAGAAGGUCAGGACCAAGGUCUUAGAUUUAUAAGGUUGCCUCAUACAGCCGAUUUAGCCACUUCCUGCCAGAUUCCGGAUAUACGUCAUCCGUAGUCGAGCCCAAGGUCUAGCGACUGCUUCACUACUGUAAGCGAGGGAAGGAAAUUUUGGAAUUUAACUAUUUUUUUUUUAAUUUGUCGAGCGUUUUUAGACUCAUAAUCUUCGAAGGUAAAUAUAUCUAUACUUAUUGCUAUUAUUAAACAUAAUUAUGUUGAUAAUUAUAUCGAUAAAAAUUGUUCGGAAGUAACAAAAGUGUUCCUAGAACAGUUUGAUAUUCUGUUGUAGUCUUUACUCUUCGUUCUGUAGAAAUUACAGAAUAUGGUUACGGAUAAAAUAUAUUUAUUAAUAAAAUACUUUAAAAUACUAAGAAUAGUUUUCUGCAUGUAUAAAAAUAGUAUCUGCUCAAUGAAAUGACGACUACAAAUAAUAAGCUGGCCGGUAACAGAAUGGUAACACUUUUAAGAUAACUUGAGAUAUGCCAGGAGCAACGUGUGCUGUUGCAAAUUGUGAUAACAGCUAUUGUAAAACAAAGUCAUUAGACAGGAAAGUCAGUUAUUUUAGAUUUCCUAAAGAUCCAAUAAUAAG